GCCUAUGUAGCUCAGCCGGUAGAGCAGAGGACUGAAAAUCCUCGUGUCGGCGGUUCGAUUCCGUCCAUAGGCACCA
rnacentral:tRNA from 1 species